rnacentral:rRNA from 1 species
ACGCUCGACACCUACGGGAGCAGCAGUGGGGAAUAUUGCACAAUGGGGGAAACCCUGAUGCAGCGACGCCGCGUGAGUGAAGAAGUAUUUCGGUAUGUAAAGCUCUAUCAGCAGGGAAGAAAAUGACGGUACCUGACUAAGAAGCCCCGGCUAACUACGUGCAGNNGCGNGUAUNGNGGCGNGNGAGAG